AGGGAGAGUCUGGAAGGAGUCCUGACUAAGAAGCAGUAGCAAGCAGAAGUCUGUGCUGUGAAGAACUGCCCCCAAGAAGUACCACUGAGAGAAGAGAUGAAUUCAGCGCACUUACCCACAGUGUUUAGGAUCAGCUCCUCUUCCAAACCAGUCUCCUGGCUUUCUGAUGGAUGUUGGGCAUUGUUCCUUAUUUCUGAAAUUUGCAAGAGGCUACAGCAAGGAGCAGGAAACACACAACUCUUCUGUUCUGGGGCGCAUUUUGAGAGAGACUUGUUUUUCAGUCUCUUAAUUUACAGUUUGUAUUUGUAAAGAGUAUAAGUUGCGUGAGGAAAGCAACUGAUUUACAGAACAGACUACAUGCAGCACAUACAAACUGACUCCUCUUAUCAAAUAGGAAAGACUUUCUCAAUGCAACAGCUUGGUGCAGAAGAGCAUGCUGAGCUGAAAAGCAAAUACAGCUAUCUGAUUAAUUGAUUCUGACCUCAUAAAUAUUAUACUUUGGGGGCUCUAAUGGAACUUCCUGAGGGUAAAUUGCAUGGUUCACCUCAUUCAUUUAUAUCUCUGGCUGACAGAUGUACAUUAUGAAAUGUCACUGAAUAUGCUGGCAAUAAAUGAGGUAUAACAUUA